CCUACGGGAGGCAGCAGUGGGGAAUAUUGCGCAAUGGGCGAAAGCCUGACGCAGCGACGCCGCGUGAGGGAUGAAGGUCUUCGGAUCGUAAACCUCUGUUAGUAGGGAAGAACGGUCACUGUGCUAAUCAGCAGCGAAUUGACGGUACCUGCACAGGAAGCACCGGCUAACUCCGUGCCAGCAGCCGCGGUAAUACGUAGGGUGCGAGCGUUAAACGGAAUUAGUGGGCGUAAAGCGCUCGUAGGCGGUAUGUUAAGUCCAAGGUGAAAUCCCCGGGCUCAACGUGGGAACUGCAUUUGAAACUGGCAAACUGGAGUGUAGAAGAGGAUAGUGGAAUUCCAGGUGUAGGGGUGAAAUCCGUAGAGAUCUGGAGGAACAUCAGUGGCGAAGGCGACUAUCUGGCACGUAACUGACGCUGAGGAGCGAAAGCGUGGGUAGCAAACAGGAUUAGAUACCCUUGUAGUC
rnacentral:rRNA from 1 species